CGAGCAAGCCAGGUGAUCGCGGGCCAUGAUGGCCUGAGGAAAGUCCGAGCUGCAUAGGGCAGGGUGCUGGGUAACACCCAGUGGGGGCGACCCCAAGGAAAGUGCCACAGAGACAUACCGCCCGCAAGGGUAAGGGUGAAAAGGCGUGUGUAAGAGACCACCGGGGUCUAGGUGACUAGACCGCCAGGCAAACCCCACCCGCAGCAAGACCAAAUAGGGAAGGCAUGACACUGCCCGUCGACCUUCCGGGUACGGUCGCUAGAGGCGCCGGGCAAUCGGCGCCCAAGAUAGAUGAUCAUCCUCGACAGAACUCGGCUUAUGGCUUCGCUCGCAAA
rnacentral:RNase_P_RNA from 1 species